rnacentral:lncRNA from 1 species
UGGAAUUGGGAAGAAAAAGAAAUUUCUACACAAUGAAAAGGAGCUUCAUUGGGAAGAAAAAGAAGGAAACAAACAAGUGAUCGCUCUAAUUCUUCCACUUCUCGAUCAAAUGGUCAUUCUGGAAUUGUUCUCUCCGUUACUCAGAACAAACACUUCAUAUUAAUGUAGCAAGCAAAACCGCAAACAAUAGAAAGGCAAAAUCCUGCGAAUAAGUAAGGAAAUAUAUCGAUUUUUUGACAUGGAAAAUGCACUACAAUACACAUUAAAAGUGAUCACACGGCAAAGAGUGGUCUUUGGAGGAGGAAAGGAGGGGGGCAGGGUGACCUCUUCUCCGGCGUCGCUUUCUUUGCGCUCGAGGAACCUCCCAAAGUUCGUCACCAUCCUACUGCUUACCCCACCAAACUACUUGCCCGCCACAGGAAGAGCCGAAGAGUCGCCCAAGAACAGAAAUAGGAGGGAAAAAAGAGGCAAAAGGUGCGGAGAUGAGAGAGAGCGAGGCGAUGUAUGGUAACCGACGGCGGGAAGCGUGAGAUCGGCGAUCGGCGAUCGGACCGCGGUCGUGGGACCUGUGCUUCACCACUCAUCUCGACCGUCUGCUAGAGGGAAUCAACGGUUCGAUGCGAGUACUGAGGUGCGUGUAUUAACAUUGGAAUUGCGAUUUAAGAUAAAUUACGGGUAGGGAUUUGGAAGCCAAAUCCAAUUCCAAAGCCCGAUUGGAAUAUGAAAGAUCGAUAAGUAUUGACUCAUCAAACAUUAAUUAGGGACUAAUGCAAAUCCUAAUCUCCCUUGACCGGCUAAUGAUAGUCAAACAAAGGUUAGAUUAUUAAUUAAGAGAAAUAAUCUUUUAAUUUGAUUACGAAAUCAUGUGGACAAUAAUCUAUAUGUCCAAUACAAGCGAUAAACUAGUUUUGAUGCCAAAAUUAAUUGGAGAUAUUACAAUAUUUUCUACUCAAUAGUAAAUUUUCCACGUCCAUUCCCAAUAAGCCCAUUCCGUAAGUAUAAUAGCUUUCCGCAUGUUUUAUCAUCUCAUAAAUAUGGGUCAGAAAUAUCCAUUUUACAUUAAAAGAAAUCCUUUAUCUUUAUCCAUACUUCCUACUGGUAUCAGAUGGCUUCCAACGUCUGUUCCGUGAUCAUAUUGAACAUC